rnacentral:rRNA from 1 species
AUUGAACGCUGGCGGAAUGCUUUACACAUGCAAGUCGAACGGCAGCACGGGGGCAACCCUGGUGGCGCGUGGCGAACGGGUGAGUAAUACAUCGGAACGUGCCCGGUCGUGGGGGCUAACGUAGCGACAGUUACGCUAAUACCGCAUACGAUCUGAGGAUGAAAGCGGGGGACCUUCGGGCAUCGCGCGAUCGGCGCGGCCGAUGUCAGAUUAGGUAGUUGGUGGGGUAAAGGCCUACCAAGCCGACGAUCUGUAGCUGGUCUGAGAGGACGACCAGCCACACUGGGACUGAGACACGGCCCAGACUCCUACGGGAGGCAGCAGUGGGGAAUUUUGGACAAUGGGCGCAAGCCUGACCCAGCCAUGCCGCGUGCAGGACGAAGGCCUUCGGGUUGUAAACUGCUGUUGUAUGGAACGAAAAGGCUCUGGCUAAUACCCGGGGCUCAUGACGGUACCGUAAGAAUAAGCACCGGCUAACUACGUG